rnacentral:rRNA from 1 species
GACGUAGGGGGCGAGCGUUGUCCGGAGUUACUGGGCGUAAAGCGUGCGUAGGCGGUUUGUUAAGUCCGUUGUGAAAGCCCUGGGCUCAACCUGGGAAUUGCAGUGGAUACUGGCGAGCUAGAGUGCGGUAGAGGAUGGUGGAAUUCCCGGUGUAGCGGUGAAAUGCGUAGAGAUCGGGAGGAACACCCGUGGCGAAGGCGGCCAUCUGGACCAGCACUGACGCUGAGGCACGAAAGCGUGGGGAGCAAACAGG